GUCUUAAUGAAAUUAAUUUUAAGUCUAUCUGCCCACUGAUUAUUAAAUUAAAUGGCUGCAGUAUCUGUAACUGUACAAAGGUAGCAUAAUAAUUUGUUUUUUAAAUGAAAACUAGAAUGAAAGAUUUGAUGAAAUAUAAACUGUUUCAAAAGAAAAUAUUAAAAUUUUUAUUUAAGUAAAAAAACUUAAAUAAUUUUUAAAGACGAUAAGACCCUAUAGAAUUUAAUUUUUAUAUAAAUUAAUUAUUUAAAUGAAAAUUUAUUUGGGGAAAAUAAAAAAUUUAAAAAAUUUUUUUUUUAUAAAACAUUAAUUAAUGAAUGUUAUAUCUUAAUUUUUGGAUUAAAAAAAUUAAUUACCUUAGGGAUAACAGCAUAAUUUUUUUUAAAANAUCUUAUUAAUAAAAAAGAUUAU
rnacentral:rRNA from 1 species